AACUAGAAAGGGAAGGGUGGGAGACCUGGCAGGGGUCUGUCGGCCACCAGGGACGGCCGAGGCUGCGUGGCUUCCCUGCCUGCCACAGCCGCAGCCAGGACCAGGGUCCCAGGGCCGGACAGCUGCACCUGUGAGCUGUGCCCCCGAGGGACGCUGUUAGCGGGGGCCUCCUUCCCGGCAAGAGGGUGCGACUUCCAAGUGGUACUUGGACCAACCGUUUCCUGGGCGUCCCCGAGUGGCCACCUGGGGCCGGGGGAGGCUGAGCUCCCGUGCGCGCUGGAGUGGAAGUUCCAGGAGGGCGGACGCUGCCUCGUUCGUCCAGCGCGCAGCGCCCAGCGCCCAGCAAGGUGAACGCACGACUCAAACGCCACGGCGUGGUUUUAUUAAGUGAUGACGCGCAGCUGUGAGGUCGCAGGCACACGGACUCCGGGUAACUCUCAGAACCACAGAAGACCAGGUAUCGCUCAGAUCCUGUCCUGCGUGGGCACCACGGGCCCGCGCCGGCAUCUGCCGCAGGAGUCCGGUCCCCUC